rnacentral:tRNA from 1 species
CGCGGGAUGGAGCAGUUCGGUAGCUCGUCGGGCUCAUAACCCGAAGGUCGUCAGUUCAAAUCUGGCCCCCGCAACCA